CACCACUCAAGCCUGGCUUGGUAUUGGGCGCCGCGCCCGUCGCGCGCCCUAAUGUCGCCGGCCGAGUCGUCUGUCUCCGAGCGUUGUGAAUCUUCAAAAGUUCGCUCCCGGGACCAGACGGCGCGCGCCGUUAAACCUCUUUUUACA
rnacentral:misc_RNA from 1 species